rnacentral:tRNA from 1 species
GCUCCCGUAGUGAAAUGGAUAUCACAUAAGUCUUCGGAACUUAGAUUUCGGGUUCGAGCCCUGACGGGAGCACCA